AACUGUUAGUGUUUGGCGUUCAAAAAGCAACGAGAACUAUUACUAAAGCUCUCAUUGCUGUGCCCCUUUCUCUUGAGGAUUCAAAUGUUCUCUAAAUAUUUACAGAUAGGCGUGUGUUUGUGUAUAUAUAAUAUUGGGUUUUAAGUGCUGGGUGUUUUUUUUCAAGUGGAGGUUGCUAGUAGGCGUACUGCCACUGCAGCACGUAGCAGCGGAGUCAAAUAUUUCAUGUGCUCACGGAGUGGAACAAAAUCACAGCCCCGUUCAUCCACAGCGUCCUGCAUAAGGAGUUUCUCCCCAAACCUAGUCUGCAGAGGCGAGUAACUACAUAACCUGAGUGGCAACUUAGGGCAUUUGCAAAGACGUGACAUGUUGCCGAAAUGAUCAGGCGAGUCAUGGGUGGGAACUAUCAUCUCCAGUUCAUGGACUUUCUCUGGAGUCAGUCACAGAGGAUGUGUCCAUUUGAGAUGUGGCAGGGACUUGCAGGCCUCUCCAGGGUUUUAGCUGCCUCAACCACUGUGGGUCAACAUCCAGGAAGGAAGACGUUUCUAAGGUAACCACCGAGGCCUUCUACCAAGGUGGCUCCAUGAAAGCGUUGAACUGGUGAGAGUGACAAAAAGCAGUUCAUUGGAUAAUGUAGAAAAAGGUAAAAAGUUAUUGCAUGCAGACUGUUUUUAUAAUGAGGCCAUUCAGGCAUAAAAUCACUUUAAAUAGGUAGUUUGUUUCCACAUUGCAGAAUUAUUUUUGUCCUACUCUUUCAAGGGGUAGUUUAUCUAGGCACAGGGGUGUAUAAAUAAUAAAUAGCCCUGGGGGCAAGGCUUUUUUUUUUUC
rnacentral:lncRNA from 1 species